CACUACCAUAUGUAAAUUAUUAUUAUUUUAUAUAAAUUAUUACCUAUUUCAGUUUGUCUUUGUCUAUGUUCAUAAAAUCUAUGGAGGUCAGAGGCACAUAUACCCUCCAUAAAGCCUUGCACUUGGGUCUGGCCGGUUAGAACAUAGACAAAAGUCUGCAAUGUCAAUGCUGUCAAAGUCAUUGACGCAAAACUAUUUUCAUUUUCAAAACUAUCAGUUUUCAUAUAAAAUGAUUAAAUAACGAUUUAUGUUGUUGAAAUAGAUUUAUUGAUUAAUUUUUAAAAUUAAAAAUCCACCGCACAGUAUCUCCGCUCAGACUCGGUUAAAGUUUAAUCCAUUGUACUAAACUAAGAAACAACAAUUAUUUCAAGAGGGUGAACGUGAGCAAAAAAUCCUUGGGCGUCAUAUCAUUUCCUUGGAAAGGCUCAAAAUCAAAAGGCACGGAUCCGCCACAUAAUUGUGACUAGUUGUAGUUUCCCGGUGACCAUCAACAAGACCGCUGCACUGAGCUGUGGAGCAGAAAGUGUCCGACAAUCGGAUAGAUGUAAUAACAACUUUGUCUGUCAUAUAUUCAUGUAAUUUUUAGUUUUUUGGGCUGAUAUAUGUGAUAUGAUUACAAGUUACACUAAUUGCAAUUGUGGAGUAAAAUCAGAUGUGCCAAAGAUCAUGUUUUAGAUAUAUAAAAAUCUAUAUUAAAUGCAAUAAAUAGUAUAUGUAUAUAUAUAAAA